rnacentral:rRNA from 1 species
CUACGCGGCGUACACAUGCAAGUCGAGCGGAACGAUGGAAGCUUGCUUCCAGGCGUCGAGCGGCGGACGGGUGAGUAAUGCAUAGGAAUCUGCCCGGUAGUGGGGGAUAACCUGGGGAAACUCAGGCUAAUACCGCAUACGUCCUACGGGAGAAAGCAGGGGACCUUCGGGCCUUGCGCUAUCGGAUGAGCCUAUGUCGGAUUAGCUGGUUGGUGAGGUAACGGCUCACCAAGGCGACGAUCCGUAGCUGGUCUGAGAGGAUGAUCAGCCACAUCGGGACUGAGACACGGCCCGAACUCCUACGGGAGGCAGCAGUGGGGAAUAUUGGACAAUGGGGGCAACCCUGAUCCAGCCAUGCCGCGUGUGUGAAGAAGGCUUUCGGGUUGUAAAGCACUUUCAGUGGGGAAGAAGGCCUUGGGGCUAAUACCCUCGAGGAAGGACAUCACCCACAGAAGAAGCACCGGCUAACUCCGUGCCAGCAGCCGCGGUAAUACGGAGGGUGCGAGCGUUAAUCGGAAUGACUGGGCGUAAAGCGCGCGUAGGCGGCUUGGUAAGCCGGUUGUGAAAGCCCCGGGCUCAACCUGGGAAUGGCAUCCGGAA